AUUGAACGCUGGCGGCAUGCCUAACACAUGCAAGUCGAACGGAAACGAUGGAAGCUUGCUUCCAGGCGUCGAGUGGCGGACGGGUGAGUAACGCGUGGGAAUCUGCCUAGUAGUGGGGGGACAACCCGAGGAAACUCGGGCUAAUACCGCAUACGCUCUACGGAGGAAAGCGGGGGAUCUUCGGACCUCGCGCUAUUAGAUGAGCCCGCGUCGGAUUAGCUUGUUGGUGGGGUAACGGCUCACCAAGGCUACGAUCCGUAACUGGUCUGAGAGGACGAUCAGUCACACCGGAACUGAGACACGGUCCGG
rnacentral:rRNA from 1 species